rnacentral:lncRNA from 13 species
GGUGCCCUAUUGUCAAGUAGUGCCCUAUUGUCAAGUAGUGCCCUAUUGUCAAGUAGUGCACUACAAAGGGAAUAGGAUGCCAUUUGAGAUGUAACCAUGGUGUUGUGGGAUUGAACGUGUAUGUACAUCACAAAUAUAUAACUGAGGCAUUUGGGGUGUUUUGGCACACAGAAGGCAAGGCAUAAAAUAAAACAGACACUUGUAUAAAAUAUGACAAUUUAACUGUAACAUAUUCAAAUGAUGAAUUACAAGAAAUCAGUUCUGUUAUAGUCAUAAUCACAAGGCUACAGCAGCAUCCAACGGGAGUGAGUGAGUGAGUAGGCAGGUGGGCACCAACGUAGCUAGGCUAUCUACUCUACAGUGGUCGUAUUCUAUUGUGGAAUAUCUAUUCACUCGGUAUCUAUGUCAGAUCAUUAUUACAAUCAUUCACUGAUGGAAUUCCACUUUUUACCCUUUUGGUGAAAAUACUUUGGACUAUUUGUCUGGAUUUGUAAAAGCAUGAGACAGUACUGCAUGGAAUGGCACUUGUAGAAAGGUGUUGAGCUUUUUGUCUAGAUAAAAUAACAUAGUGGCUGCAUUUACACAGGCGGCCCAAUUAUGAUCAUUUUUCACAAUUUUUUUUUUUUUUUUUGACCAGCUCUGAAAAAAAAAUGUGAUGUGAUUGGUCAAAAGAUCAGAAUAUUCUGCCUGUGUAAACGCAACCAGUGUGCAUCCAAAAAAAGACACCCCUAUUCCCUAGUGGACUACUUUUGUCUAGGACAUAUUGGUGCACCAUAAAGUACAGAUCAGUGUUUCCCAACUCCAGACGUGCAGUACUCCCAACAGCUCAAUUAGUUGAAUCAGGUGAGUUUGUCUGGGGCUACAACAAUAAUGUGGGCUUUUGGGGGUACUGGAGGACUGGAGUUGGGCUUUUGGGGGUACUGGAGGACCAGAGUUGGGCUGUUGGGGGUACUGGAGGACUGGAGUUGGUCUUUUGGGGGUACUGGAGGACUGGAGUUGGUCUUUUGGGGGUACUGGAGGACUGGAGUUGGGCUGUUGGGGG